GAUGAACGCUGGCGGCGUGCCUAAUACAUGCAAGUCGAGCGAAUGGAUUAAGAGCUUGCUCUUAUGAAGUUAGCGGCGGACGGGUGAGUAACACGUGGGUAACCUGCCCAUAAGACUGGGAUAACUCCGGGAAACCGGGGCUAAUACCGGAUAACAUUUUGAACCGCAUGGUUCGAAAUUGAAAGGCGGCUUCGGCUGUCACUUAUGGAUGGACCCGCGUCGAAUUAGCUAGUUGGUGAGGUAACGGCUCACCAAGGCAACGAUGCGUAGCCGACCUGGGAGGGUGAACGGCCACACUUGGACUGAGACACGGCCCAGACUCCUACGGGAGGCAGCAGUAGGGAAUCUUCCGCAAUGGACGAAAGUCUGACGGAGCAACUCCGCGUGAGUGAUGAAGGCUUUCGGGUCGUAAAACUCUGUUGUUAGGGAAGAACAAGUGCUAGUUGAAUAAGCUGGCACCUUGACGGUACCUAACCAGAAAGCCACGGCUAACUACGUGCCAGCAGCCGCGGUAA
rnacentral:rRNA from 1 species